UACGUAGGGUGCAAGCGUUGUCCGGAAUUAUUGGGCGUAAAGGGCUCGUAGGCGGUCCAUCGCGUCGGGAGUGAAAAGCUGGGGCUCAACCCCAGUCCUGCUUCCGAUACGGGUGGACUAGAGGUAUGCAGGGGAGAACGGAAUUCCUGGUGUAGCGGUGAAAUGCGCAGAUAUCAGGAGGAACACCGGUGGCGAAGGCGGUUCUCUGGGCCAUUACUGACGCUGAGGAGCGAAAGCGUGGGGAGCGAACAGG
rnacentral:rRNA from 1 species